rnacentral:misc_RNA from 1 species
GUGAAUCAUCAAAUCUUUGAACGCAAAUUGCACUCUCUGCGGAGAGUAUGACUGUUUGAGGGUCAGAAUCAAUAAAAAUCGGUGUGUUGCUUUUUGGUGACGCUCCGGGGUUUGGGUCAUAUGAAGAUUUUUGAGGUUUUAAGAGGCUUAAAAUUGACUUUUUUUGCGCAUUUUAGAUGUACAUAAAUUUUUUUUUGUAUUAGUCUGUCUUAGUGCUCAAAGUGUUAUUAGAU